AGGCGUUAAUUGGGUCUAGGGGUAAUCGAAAUUCAUGGACAAUAUUUUUGGGGCUAAAGGUUCAAACAAUAUUGUAAUUCUUACUUCUUUGAGCAUAUUGUAUGAUAUGAAUGCAUAACACCAUUAAAGGCAAUUAUGUCAGUUUGAUCGAGAGAAGUUAUGGAUGCAAUUAAA